GAACGCACCUUGCGCCCUUUGGCUAUUCUGAAGGGCAUGCCUGUUUGAGUAUCAUGAACACCUCAACUCUCAUGGCCUGCCAUGAUGAGCUUGGACUUUGGAGGUCUUGCCGGUGUACCGUCGGCUCCUCUCAAACGAAUCAGCUUGCCAGCGUUUGGCGGCGUCACAGGUGUGAUAACUAUCUACGCUUGUGGACUUCCGCCAGGCAACCUCCAGCGAUGGGGGUUCACUGGGGCUCACAAAUGUCUCUCCUCAGUGGAGAUGGCUCUUUUGAAUGUUUGAUCUCAAAUCAGGUAGGACUACCCGCUGAACUUAAG
rnacentral:misc_RNA from 1 species